GGCGGAAGCCUGAUGCAGCGACGCCGCGUGAGGGAUGACGGCCUUCGGGUUGUAAACCUCUUUCGACAGGGACGAAGCGUGAGUGACGGUACCUGUAGAAGAAGCACCGGCCAACUACGUGCCAGCAGCCGCGGUAAUACGUAGGGUGCGAGCGUUGUCCGGAAUUACUGGGCGUAAAGAGCUUGUAGGCGGUUUGUCGCGUCGUCCGUGAAAACUCAGGGCUCAACUCUGAGCUUGCGGGCGAUACGGGCAGACUUGAGUACUGCAGGGGAGACUGGAAUUCCUGGUGUAGCGGUGAAAUGCGCAGAUAUCAGGAGGAACACCGGUGGCGAAGGCGGGUCUCUGGGCAGUAACUGACGCUGAGAAGCGAAAGCGUGGGUAGCGAACAGGAUUAGAUACCCUGGUAGUCCACGCCGUAAACGGUGGGCGCUAGGUGUGGGUUUCCUUCCACGGGAUCCGUGCCGUAGCUAACGCAUUAAGCGCCCCGCCUGGG
rnacentral:rRNA from 1 species